AGCGAACGCUGGCGGCAGGCCUAACACAUGCAAGUCGAACGAACCUUUCGGGGUUAGUGGCGGACGGGUGAGUAACACGUGGGAACGUGCCUUUAGGUUCGGAAUAACUCAGGGAAACUUGUGCUAAUACCGAAUGUGCCCUUCGGGGGAAAGAUUUAUCGCCUUUAGAGCGGCCCGCGUCUGCUUAGCUAGUUGGUUGAGGUAAUGGCUCACCAAGGCGACGAUCAGUAGCUGGUCUGAGAGGAUGAUCAGCCACAUUGGGACUGAGACACGGCCCAAACUCCUCCGGGAGGCAGCGGGGGGGAUUCUUGCGCAAUGGCGAAAAGCCGGACCCAGCAUUCCCGGGGGAAGGAUGAAGUUUUUGGGAUUGUAAAUUUUUUCCCCGGGGAAUGAUAAUGGGGGUCCGGGAAAAAGAGCCCCCGGCAACUUUGGUC
rnacentral:rRNA from 1 species